CUUUCUUGCAGAUUGCAGAAAAGGAAGCAAUAGUUGUGAGUUGUUGAGUUACGAAGAAUUUUAAAUUUGACGCAAGCUGGAAGAAGAUGCUUGGAUCUCAGCGCACAAGUUCUCUUUUGUCUGUGGCGCCACAGUCCUUAAUGAGAUACAUAAGCCAACUUCAGCACACGGGCUGAACAAUAACUUUCAGCAUUCUACAUAAGUUGGAAGUUCUUGUAUGGGACUUGAGAAUAAAAGCUUGGCCAUGGAAUCGGCUGAAUAUUUUGUAUUGAACUGUGUGAGUAGUCUUAAAAGUUUGCUCAGUGUUAGGACUCCUGUAAGUCUCGUAACACAAACUGCAAAUGUUUCUACGUAUCCGUGUGAUGUCCCAUGUCACCCGCCACUUUUGAGGGUUUAGGCAGGUGUUACCGGUGGCCGGCUGGAUUUUACACUGGCAUUUCAUGCGUGUUUUCGUAUUCCGAGGUUCAUGAAGAAUGACAUACAAUUAUUAUUAGGCUGUGUUGUCUGCAAGGCAAAGUAAACGUUCUUUGUAGCCUUUU